GUCCCGUUGGCGCAGCGGUUAGCGCUCCGUUCUUAUAAGGGGACGUUCCCCAUAUGCCAUGCGGUGGUCGCGGGUUCAAACCCCGCACGGGACA